rnacentral:rRNA from 1 species
AAUUUUAGAUGUAUUCAUUUUUUAUUCUUAAUGAAAUAAUUACAUUUAAGUCCUUCUUCGUACGCUUUUUAAAAGCGGCCUCUGCUGUUAUUAGUGUAACUCGCCUAAUCUUUUUGAUAGUCUGCACCUUGAUCUGUAAUGUUAGUUGUACUAAACUAUAUGAUAAUAUAUUAUAUAUUAUCUGCUGACGACGGCAUACAAAAUAUAACAGAAAGUAGAUUACCUUGGUGGUUAUCAAUUACUUGGUAAGUUCCCCUAAAUUUUAAAAUUACCGCCAUGCUAUUUGAGUUUUAACCAAAAAGGCCUUAGUACUCAGUGUUUUUAUAUGAGUAUUGUAUAAAAGGGUAUCUAAUCCUUGUUUAUGGGCAAUAUUUUAAAAAAAUUUGAGAAAAAGAAGUUUGUAAAUAUUAUUUCACCAAUAUUUUUAUAAGGCUUUGUCUACACGUUUGUUUGUUUAUUACUAUAGAAGUCUGACCGCGACUGCUGGCACUUUUUAAGUCAUAGUAUGUAUAAUCGGUUUAAUCUUACUUUCGUAAAUUAAUAAAUUUUCUUGCCUGGAUAUGCCUUUAAGUACCAUUAGUAUCCUAUUUUUUAUAAACAUUCCACCAU